CGCCCUCAUGCAACCCUCGCCUGCCGUGAGCUUCCUUCACGAGUUACCGACCUCCUUGACGCCGUGAGUUUCGCCUUCUCCUCCCAACGGCCUCAUUGCCGAUUGCAUCCCUCCCCUCGCCCUAAACACCGUUAGGUUUCCGUCUCUGUCCCUCUCUCCUUCCCCCCCUUCUCUCUCGAUCUCUUUCUUGCCAUUUUUCUGACUCCGGAUUGAUCUGUGAAUCGUUUUCCGUUGUCUUCAGCCUUUUCUUCCGUCCGCUUGCUGUCUCUGGUUUCGGCGUCGCUUCGAUCUCCGAUCGGCUAGGGUUUCGACGGAGGGACCCGGCGCUCGUGCUCCUGUUCUUCGUCUUUAAACUUCCUGUUUGAGUCCGCGCUCCAGUCCUUCUUCUGACGCGCAGGUGUGGGGAUUAGCGGGCGUGUCCGAGGCGGUCUAGGUUUCCUCUUUUUCUCUCCGUCUCCGCCUGCUUCUUUUGGGGGGGUAGCCGGGGCUCCGGCCUCGGCGGUUUCUAAAGCCCCCGUUUGUCUCAAGACCUGAUUAUAGACCGGAAGUAGUUGGGAAGAGAUGCCGGCCCUGGCUUGCGUAGAUGCUGCAGCACCCCUGCCUCCUGGCUACGCCUUCGCUGGGGAAAGCGCUCUUCCCACUGCUCUGCCGGAGAGUUUCGACCUCUCCGGCGUUGUCAUCGAUGACGAUGACUCGACCGCCGUGAAAGUUACGGCGGCGAUGGCGACGUCCCCGUGGUCUCCUGAUCUUUCCGCAUCCUUGUACAAGAUCAACGGAUGGGGCGCCCCCUACUUCUCCGUGAACGCCGCAGGAAACAUCUCCGUCAGGCCGCACGGCGUUGCGACGAUGCCGCACGCCGAGAUCGAUCUCAUGAAGGUCGUCAGGAAGGUCACCGAGCCGAAGUCCCUCGGCGGGCUCGGACUGCAGCUGCCGCUUAUCGUCCGACUGCCCGACGUGCUCAGGGACCGCCUCGAGUCGCUUCACUCGGCCUUCGAAUCCGCGAUCCACUCUCAGGGGUACGAGUCCCACUACCAGGGCGUCUACCCUGUCAAGUGCAACCAGGACCACUACAUCGUCGAAGACAUCGUCGAGUACGGCCGCCCUUUCCGGUUCGGCCUCGAGGCCGGGUCGAAGCCGGAGCUCCUCCUCGCAAUGAGCGCGUUGUGCAAGGGAAACCCUGAAUCGUUCCUCGUUUGCAAUGGUUACAAGGAUCAGGAGUACAUCUCGCUCGCUUUGAUGGCUAGAAGGCUCGGUCUCAACACGGUGAUCGUCCUUGAGCAGGAGGAGGAACUGGAUCUGGUGAUUGAAGUAAGUCGAAGGAUCGGCGUCAGGCCGGUGAUUGGGCUGCGUGCUAAGCUCCGGACCAAGCACUCUGGCCAUUUCGGGUCGACCUCCGGCGAGAAAGGCAAGUUUGGAUUGACGACACUUCAGAUCAUUUCGGUGGUCCGGAGGCUCGAGAGGGCUGAUAUGCUCGACUGUCUCCAGCUGCUCCAUUUCCACAUCGGUUCGCAGAUCCCAUCCGUUGAUCUCCUGAGCGACGGCGUUGGCGAGGCUGCUCAGAUAUACUGCGAGCUUGUUCGUCUUGGUGCCGGAAUGAGGGUGCUGGACAUCGGUGGCGGGCUUGGGAUCGAUUAUGACGGGUCACGCUCGAAGAUGUCGGACAUGUCAGUCGGAUACAACCUCGAGGAGUAUGCGGCCACUGUGGUUCAGGCCGUCCGUUACGCCUGCGACAGGAAGUUCGUCAAGCAUCCGGUCCUCUGCAGCGAGAGCGGGCGGGCGCUUGUCUCUCACCAUUCUGUUCUCGUAUUCGAGGCCGCCCCUUCUCUGCCUGUCCUGGACGGAGCGACGCCGGGGCAGCAUGAUUUGAGGUUCCUCAUGGAAGGUCUCUCUGAUGAGGCACGCUCUGACUACCGGAACCUGACAGCCGCGGCCGUUCGCGGCGACUAUGACACUUGCCUGGCCUACACGGAGCAGAUGAAACAGAGGUGCAUCGAGGAAUUCAAGGAGGGAUCUCUCGGUCUCGAGCACCUCGCGGCCGUCGACGGACUUUGCGAGCUGGUUGCGAAGGUGGUGGCUCACGGUAAUCCAGCAGCCGGUAGUGACUCGCCGACGAUAAGGUCCUACCACGUGAAUCUGUCCAUCUUCAAGUCUCUGCCGGACCUCUGGGCCAUCGAGCAACUGUUCCCGAUCGUGCCCAUCCACCGUCACUGCGAUCGGCCGACUGUCAACGGUGUGCUGUCGGACUUAACGUGCGACAGCGACGGGAAGGUGGACAAGUUCAUUGGAGGAGGGAGGACCCUGCCGUUGCACGAGUGCAGGAGGGGGGAGGCAUACUAUUUGGGGAUGUUCCUGGGCGGUGCCUACCAGGAGGCGCUCGGGGGGCUGCACAACCUGUUCGGCAGCCCGAACGUGGUGCGCGUGGUGCAGAGCGACGGCCCUCACUGCUUCGCCAUCACGGGCACGGUGCCCGGACAGUCGUGUGCGGACGUCCUCCGGGUGAUGCAGCACGAGCCCGCCCUUAUGUUCGAGGCGCUCAGGGUUCGGAUCGAGGAGUGCUUCCACGGAGCUUCCGCAGCGGAGGAGGAGGAGGAAGAGAGUGUGGCCCACAGCCUUGCGUGUUCCUUCGACUCCACCCCAUACCUCGUCGCCGCUGUAGGCGACGACGAAUGGGUCCACUGCUGCGCUUGACUCCUCGAGCUGAAAUUGCAACAGCAGCAGCAACAACAGCAAACAAGAAGAACUCUCUUCGUUUUCCUUGCCCUUUUUACCAUCUGGUGGUCAAUAAAGAAGGCGAUAAAAGCAAUCGGAGAGGUCACAUGUGCACAGGCGCUACCGGUGCAGGGGACUACGCGCUUAGGUCGAGAGAGAAGGAGGAACGUGGGGUGCCGGGGGGACACAUGGCUCUGUGAGACGUGGGUGGUGGAAUGGACAGUAUGGUCCCCUAUUCAUAUUGCCCGCGUCAUCACCUAAGCUUUUUAAUGGCGAUAAUGGUGGUGGUGAAGUUGACGAUGAUGGCAGGUGGUUGAAGUGGAAGAAUGGAGCUAGGUGUUCCUGCAGACGUCAAAACAAAGACAAUCUGCUCCCUAUGGCAAUCAGUCUUUGUCCGGCUCUUAUGCGUGACGUAUGACGUCCAAGUGUCACACCCUGCGAAUCGCAAGGCUUGGAGACCAACAAAGUAGGUCAUCUUCUUUCCUUCUUCCUCCAUCUCAUCAUCAUCAUCAUCAGCAUGUACAUCACUGUCAUCCUCACUUUUCUUCCGAGAUUGCCAUCCGCUUCUUUUUGUUCUGAUAUUUCUCUCUCUAGACUUCACUUUAUUGGCUACCACAGCUGCUCGAUCUCUUGUUGGACCAUGUCCAUCACCUCCACAGGAAAUGGAUUCUCCCUGAUCUGAACCAUCGUUUGCAUAAUGAAUAGAACAUGUCAAUCUGUCAAUUCUUUAUUACCGAGUUGAUUUAUGUGCUAUCAAGUUCAUUUUA